GACCGGAAGGACUGGUGGAGCGCUUAGAAGUGAGAAUGCCGGUAUGAGUAGCGAAAGAAGGGUGAGAAUCCCUUCCACCGAAUAUCUAAGGUUUCCUGAGGAAGGCUCGUCCGCUCAGGGUUAGUCGGGACCUAAGCCGAGGCCGAUAGGCGUAGGCGAUGGACAACAGGUAGAGAUUCCUGUACCAGUGCUAAUUGUUUAACCGAUGGGGUGACACAGAAGGAUAGGGAAUCGCACGAAUGGAAAUGUGCGUCCAAGCAGUGAGUGUGAGAAGUAGGCAAAUCCGCUUCUCGCGAAGCAUGAGCUGUGAUGGGGAAGGAAAUUAAGUACGGAAGUUCCUGAUUUCACGCUGUCAAGAAAAGCCUCUAGGAAGAGUAGUACUGCCCGUACCGCAAACCGACACAGGUAGAUGAGGAGAGAAUCCUAAGGUGAGCGAGAGAACUCUCGUUAAGGAACUCGGCAAAAUGACCCCGUAACUUCGGGAGAAGGGGUGCUCUAUUAGGGUGCAAGCCCGAGAGAGCCGCAGUGAAUAGGCCCAGGCGACUGUUUAGCAAAAACACAGGUCUCUGCAAAACCGUAAGGUGACGUAUAGGGGCUGACGCCUGCCCGGUGCUGGAAGGUUAAGAGGAGUGCUUAGCUUCGGCGAAGGUACGAAUUGAAGCCCCAGUAAACGGCGGCCGUAACUAUAACGGUCCUAAGGUAGCGAAAUUCCUUGUCGGGUAAGUUCCGACCCGCACGAAAGGCGCAACGAUCUGGGCACUGUCUCAACGAGAGACUCGGUGAAAUUAUAGUACCUGUGAAGAUGCAGGUUACCCGCGACAGGACGGAAAGACCCCGUGGAGCUUUACUGCAACCUGAUAUGGAAUGUUUGUACCGCUUGUACAG
rnacentral:rRNA from 1 species